rnacentral:rRNA from 1 species
UGACGAACGCUGGCGGCGUGCUUAACACAUGCAAGUCGAACGGAAAGGCCCUGCUUUUGUGGGGUGCUCGAGUGGCGAACGGGUGAGUAACACGUGAGUAACCUGCCCUUGACUUUGGGAUAACUUCAGGAAACUGGGGCUAAUACCGGAUAGGAGCUCCUGCUGCAUGGUGGGGGUUGGAAAGUUUCGGCGGUUGGGGAUGGACUCGCGGCUUAUCAGCUUGUUGGUGGGGUAGUGGCUUACCAAGGCUUUGACGGGUAGCCGGCCUGAGAGGGUGACCGGCCACAUUGGGACUGAGGUACGGCCCAGACUCCUACGGGAGGCAGCAGUGGGGAAUAUUGCACAAUGGGCGGAAGCCUGAUGCAGCAACGCCGCGUGCGGGAUGACGGCCUUCGGGUUGUAAACCGCUUUCGCCUGUGACGAAGCGUGAGUGACGGUAAUGGGUAAAGAAGCACCGGCUAACUACGUGCCAGCAGCCGCGGUGAUACGUAGGGUGCGAGCGUUGUCCGGAUUUAUUGGGCGUAAAGGGCUCGUAGGUGGUUGAUCGCGUCGGAAGUGUAAUCUUGGGGCUUAACCCUGAGCGUGCUUUCGAUACGGGUUGACUUGAGGAAGGUAGGGGAGAAUGGAAUUCCUGGUGGAGCGGUGGAAUGCGCAGAUAUCAGGAGGAACACCAGUGGCGAAGGCGGUUCUCUGGGCCUUUCCUGACGCUGAGGAGCGAAAGCGUGGGGAGCGAACAGGCUUAGAUACCCUGGUAGUCCACGCUGUAAACGGUGGGUACUAGGUGUGGGGUCCAUUCCACGGGUUCCGUGCCGUAGCUAACGCUUUAAGUACCCCGCCUGGGGAGUACGGCCGCAAGGCUAAAACUCAAAGGAAUUGACGGGGCCCCGCACAAGCGGCGGAGCAUGCGGAUUAAUUCGAUGCAACGCGUAGAACCUUACCUGGGUUUGACAUGGAUCGGGAGUGCUCAGAGAUGGGUGUGCCUCUUUUGGGGUCGGUUCACAGGUGGUGCAUGCCUGUCGUCAGCUCGUGUCGUGAGAUGUUGGGUUAAGUCCCGCAACGAGCGCAACCCUUGUUCACUGUUGCCAGCACGUUAUGGUGGGGACUCAGUGGAGACCGCCGGGGUCAACUCGGAGGAAGGUGGGGAUGACGUCAAGUCCUCAUGCCCCUUAUGUCCAGGGCUUCACGCAUGCUACAAUGGCUGGUACAGAGAGUGGCGAGCCUGUGAGGGUGAGCGAAUCUCGGAAAGCCGGUCUCAGUUCGGAUUGGGGUCUGCAACUCGACCUCAUGAAGUCGGAGUCGCUAGUAAUCGCAGAUCAGCAACGCUGCGGUGAAUACGUUCCCGGGGCUUGUACACACCGCCCGUCAAGUCAUGAAAGUUGGUAACACCCGAAGCCGGAGGCCUAACCGUUGUGGGGGAGCCGUCGAAGG